rnacentral:misc_RNA from 1 species
UGAUACCGAAUCGAUUUGUACUGUAGGCAC